rnacentral:rRNA from 2 species
UUGGAGGGCAAGUCUGGUGCCAGCAGCCGCGGUAAUUCCAGCUCCAAUAGCGUAUAUUAAAGUUGUUGCAGUUAAAAAGCUCGUAGUUGAAUUUCGGGAUCAAUGUUUCGGUCAUGCCGUUGGUAUGUACUGAUAUUAUUGGUUUCUCACCUUCUAAAGAACCGUAAUGCCAUUAAUUUGGUGUCACGGGGAAUUAGGACUGUUACCUUGAAAAAAUUAGAGUGUUUAAAGCAGGCUCACGCUUGAAUACAUUAGCAUGGAAUAAUGAAAUAGGACAUCCGAUUCUAUUUUGUUGGUUUCUAGGAUCGAUGUAAUGAUUAAUAGGGAUAGUUGGGGGCAUUAGUAUUCAAUUGUCAGAGGUGAAAUUCUUGGAUUUAUUGAAGACUAACUACUGCGAAAGCAUUUGCCAAGGAUGUUUUCAUUAAUCAAGAACGAAAGUUAGGGGAUCGAAGACGAUCAGAUACCGUCGUAGUCUUAACCAUAAACUAUGCCGACUAGGGAUCGGAUGAUGUUAAUUUUUUAAUGACUCAUUCGGCGCCUUACGGGAAACCAAAGUGUUUGGGUUC